rfam:Bacillus sp. SGD-V-76 genomic scaffold Scaffold1, whole genome shotgun sequence.
CGCCCUUUUAAACGGUAGUCCCGUGAGGCUGCAAAAGGGGGAAACACUGCGUGAAGCGAAUGAUUCGUCAUGUUGCUUCAUGCUGUGGAAACCUCUUUGCGCACUUGUGUAAAGAGGUUUUUUUA